AGAGUUUUGAUCCUGGCUCAGGAUGAACGCUGGCUGUGUGCCUAAUACAUGCAUGUUGAACGAAGCUAAAAGUGCUUGCACUUUAAGACUUAGUAGCGAAUGGGUGAGUAACACGUACUUAACCUACCCCUAAGUUUGGGAUAACGUUUGGAAACGAACGCUAAUACCGAAUACGUAUUUUUAUCGCAUGAUAGAAAUAUAAAAGGAGCUUCGGCUUCGCUAGGGGAUGGGAGUGCGCUACAUUAGCUACUUGGUAGGGUAAUGGCCUACCAAGACUAUGAUGUAUAGCGGGGCCGAGAGGCUGAUCCGCCACACUGGGACUGCGAUACGGCCCAGACUCCUACGGGAGGCAGCAGUAGGGAAUUUUCCACAAUGAACGAAAGUUUGAUGGAGCGACACAGCGUGCAGGAUGAAGGUCUUCGGAUCGUAAACUGCUGUUAUAAGGGAAGAAAAACUUUAGUAGGUAAUGACUAGAACUUGACGGUACCUUAUCAGAAAGCGACGGCUAACUAUGUGCCAGCAGCCGCGGUAAU
rnacentral:rRNA from 1 species